rnacentral:rRNA from 1 species
CGCUUGAGAGAACUCAGGAGAAGGAACUCGGCAAAUUAAUACCGUAACUUCGGGAGAAGGUAUGCCUCAUUAGUGUGAUGUGCCUGCGCACAAACCAUGAAGAGGCCGCACAAAAUAGGGAGUAGCGACUGUUUACUAAAAACACAGGACUCUGCAAACACGUAAGUGGAAGUAUAGGGUCUGACGCCUGCCCGGUGCUGGAAGGUUAAUAGGAGGGGUGCAAGCUCUGAAUUGAAGCCCCAGUAAACGGCGGCCGUAACACUGACGGUCCUAAGGUAGCGAAAUUCCUUGUCGGGUAAGUUCCGACCCGCACGAAUGGCGUAACGAUUUCUCCACUGUCUCCAACAUCACUUCAGCGAAAUUGAAUUCCCCGUGCAGAUGCGGGGUACCCGCGGUUAGACGAAGAGACCCCGUGCACCUUUACUAUAGCUUUACAUUGCUAUUAAAAGUGUGAUGUGCAGGAUAGGUGGGAGACUUUGAAGUUAUGGCGCUAGCUAUAAUGGAGUCAACCUUGAGAUACCACCCUUUACACUUUUGAUAUCUAACUAUGUUUCAUUAUCUGGAACUAGGACAUUGUAUGGUGGGUAGUUUGACUGGGGCGGUCGCCUCCUAAAAAGUAACGGAGGCGUGCGAAGGUAAGCUAGAGCUGGUCGGAAAUCAGCUUGAUAGUACAAUGGCAUAAGCUUGCCUGACUGCGAGGCUGACAAGCCAAGCAGAGACGAAAGUCGGUCAUAGUGAUCCGGUGAUUCUGUAUGGAAGGGUCAUCGCUCAACGGAUAAAAGGUACGCCGGGGAUAACAGGCUGAUGGUGUUCGAGAGUUCAUAUCGACGACACCGUUUGGCACCUCGAUGUCGACUCAUCACAUCCUGGGGCUGGAGAAGGUCCCAAGGGUUCGGCUGUUCGCCGAUUAAAGUGUUACGUGAGUUGGGUUUAGAACGUCGUGAGACAGUUCGGUUUCUAUCUGCCGUGGGUGAAGGAAAUUUGAGAAGAUCUGACUCUAGUACGAGAGGACCGAGAUGGAUAUACCUCUGGUGUUCCGGUUGUCAUGCCAAUGGCAUUGCCCGGUAGCUAAGUGCGGAAAAGAUAACCGCUGAAAGCAUCUAAGCGGGAAACUUGCCUUGAGAUGAGAUUUCCCGGAGCCUUUAAGGGUCCUAAAGGAACGUUUAAGACUAAGACGUUGAUAGGUUGGGUGUGUAAGCGUAGCGAUACGUUGAGCUAACCAAUACUAAUGAACCGUGAGGCUUAACCU